AUUGAACGCUGGCGGCAUGCCUUACACAUGCCAGUCGAACGGCAGCGCGGACUUCGGUCUGGCGGCGAGUGGCGAACGGGUGAGUAAUACAUCGGAACGUACCCUGUUGUGGGGGAUAGCUAGUCGAAAGAUUAGCUAAUACCGCAUACGACCUGAGGGUGAAAGUGGGGGACCGCAAGGCCUCACGCAGCAGGAGCGGCCGAUGUCUGAUUAGCUAGUUGGUGGGGUAAAGGCCCACCAAGGCGACGAUCAGUAGCUGGUCUGAGAGGACGAUCAGCCACACUGGGACUGAGACACGGCCCAGACUCCUACGGGAGGCAGCAGUGGGGAAUUUUGGACAAUGGGGGCAACCCUGAUCCAGCAAUGCCGCGUGUGUGAAGAAGGCCUUCGGGUUGUAAAGCACUUUUGUCCGGAAAGAAAUCGCGCUGGUUAAUACCUGGCGUGGAUGACGGUACCGGAAGAAUAAGCACCGGCUAACUACGUG
rnacentral:rRNA from 1 species